ACAAGAAGCAGCAGUUUUGCCUUAGCUAGUCCUUACUCUGAGUACAGCGAGCACGCCUCCGGGACGUAGGAGCUGCAGACAGCGCUCGUAGUAGGCGGUACAGUUCUCUUUGUCCGCGUCCACCACGGCUAUGUCGAAGGUUCCGGCCUCGCCCGCCGCUAGGAGCUCAUCUUAACAGGGACAGAGGGCAUGUGCCGCUGGCUGAGCUAGGGUCUCAGCGGGCUGCUCAGGGUCGCCAGUUUUGUUCCCCGGGGUUGGACAGUGCUGUCUGGGUCCCUCCCGCACUGGUGCUCACCCAAUGUCUGCAGGGCGGGCUGCAGCCGAAGGUCGAUCUUCUGCUCCACUUCUGCCUGCGGAAGGAGGCCGGUCAGGCCGGCACGCCCCCGAGCCGGAGCCCGAACGGCCGCAGGUGUGGGGCUCUCACCUGCUUCCACAUGGGCCGUCCCAGCUUCGGGGGCUCUGCGUCAACCUCGCAGGUCACCACGCGGCCAGCCUCCGGAAGCGCCAAGGCUAGGGCCAGGGCCGAGUAGCCCGUGAAAGUACCUGUGGAAGGGGACACUGUCAAGCUCAGUUCAGGGUGCAGGGCUGCCCUGUGACCCUGGUUUCCAGAGACCAUGGCUGCGUGUUCCUACCCAGAUCCAGAGCUUUCUUGGCCUUAAUGAGCCGCGCCAGGUUGGCCAGAAGCUGGGCCUGUUCACAGGUCAUCAUGGAAUCCCCCUGCGGCUGCUCCAGGGUCAGCUGUGUGGGGAGAGGGAGGUGCCAUUCAUACCAGUCACCCCCCCCACCUCCCCCCUGAGGUUUUGAAUCAUUCAGGGGCUCGGUGGCGGGUGUGGCCUAGAGGGGACAGGUCUCAGGGAACCCGGAAGCCCAGAGAGGGUUUCUGCCUAGCUCAAGGUCACACAGCCACGUGAGGUCCACCACGCUGGAAGUGGGGAGCCGGUUCUCGGUCCCAGUCCUACUGACCAGUCGCAGGCUCCGCAGCGCCGGGUGCUCUCUCAUGGAGCGGCUCAGCAGAUACUGCCACAGGGGAUUGUCCUCAGGUGGCAGCAGGCGCUCUUGCCGCCUGGACCCCCAUGGAGGCCACCGUUUCCCUGCCGGGGAGAGGGUGCCGAGUCAGGGCCUGCAUUUCUGACCGGGUUCUCCGGCUCUUCUCCGCGCCCUCCUCCCAUUCCCCGGACUGCAGCAGCCCAGCCCAGCUCACCCAGCAAGAGACCAGUAGCGAAGGCGGCGCCCAGCGCGGCCGAGCCCAGGGCCAGUGCGGCUGGGAUAGAUAGCCGAGGGACGGGCUGAGCCAUGGUGCAGGUUAGCAGCGGCGGCGGAGGUCACGUGUGCUGGAGUAGCGAGGAUGGGACUGGGACCAGUAAGCCGACAGGGCUCCACCUUGUCCGGGCCCUGCCCACAGAGCCGCGUCCUCGGGCACCAUCUGGUGACACAUGGCCGUAUUGCAAGGUCAGGCUGAGAACAUCUCGCCACCCGGUGGCUGCAUGCGGAACUGCGUCGGGGUGAAAUCCUUUCUAGACUUCGCUCACAGGAGACUCUGCUGACCUGCCCUCAGGGACCUAGCAAUUGCUUAAGGCAUCACCUGCCCCGCCCCCCACGUACGACAGGUAAGGCCCGAAGAAAUGUGAGUUCCUUUAGGGCUGAGCACACAGCAGGCACUAAAUACGUGCUGGCGGGGCCACACUGCGGCCAGUGAUAACAACGGGGCCACACUGCGGCCAGUGAUAACAACGUGACAACCGGAAGCUGUUACUUAGCACCUGCUGGGUACCAGGUGCUCAACACCCAGCCAUCCCUUGAAGCAGCGGUGUUGUUCCAAUUUUCAAGAGAAGGAAAGUCCUGAAUUGAUCAUCUCUCCGAGCUCACUGCCUAGCGCCUUGCCCUCCUAAAUUUCCACCGUCUUUAUCAGUACCUCCCUGGGACGCACACAGAGGGAAGAGGCAGCCGUGUCCCCGCUAGGCCUCUUCAGCGGGCUUGUGGCACCGAGUCCUUGUCCUUAGCCGGAGCCCUCUUCCCCAUAUCUGGGGACCGGGAUGGCUUGCAAGUUCUCAGUGCAUCUCACAGCCUUCCUCCUGCAACCUGGCUCCAGGCAGGAGCGGUGGAGGUGGGGGAAGCGGGCGAGGAGGGAGCCAUGUCACCAUAUAUCCCAGUCAGAUUAAAAAACUAAUUUG
rnacentral:lncRNA from 1 species